rnacentral:piRNA from 1 species
UGAAGAUGAAAAUACUGUUAACCG